rnacentral:lncRNA from 1 species
UGAGCCGAGUCCUGCCUCUUCCCAGCUGUGGUGAAUGGACAAUGGCCUUGACCCAUUAGCCAUCCCUACAGUUGGUCUUGGCUGUGUAGUGUUAGCACUUGAGAUGAAGGUCACUGUCAGUGAUGCAGUCAGCUGUGGAUGGUGGGAUGUCUAUGCCUCUGUCACUGGAGAUCUGAGCCCUCUGGCUGAAGCAGGAAACCCCACCACAGUUGGCUGUCUCUUGAACAGAGCUGAGGACCUAGUGUUGAUGUGGAGCUGCUGCCCAGGCCCUGUUUUUCUUUGCGUUUUGGUUGGGUCAAGUCUAAUGACAGACAACCCAAUGUCCCUGUGUACGAAUGCCCAGAGACUUCCUCUUAUAGGAAAUGCCUUCUUAAAAAUAAGAUUUCACAUUCAUUCAUUCAUUCAUUCAUUCAUUCUCUCUUAAUAUUCACUAGGCAUCCACUUGUAUCAGACAUUUUUAAAAAGAUAAGAAGAGUUGACCUUGCGGAGGCAGCAUUUGUGUGAGUCGGUGCUGAGUGAUGAGGUCUGUGGACUCUGUCCAAUGAGCUCUCUUUAUCCAUCCUCAUUAUAACACUGGAGCUUGCUUAGGUUAAGAUGUCAGAGCUUUCCCUGAACAUUAUCCUUCCAGAUAAUUGAUGGCUGAUUUGGUUUUUAAAACAAAGAGGAACAUCUGGGAAAAACAAAAGUCAGCAGAGAUGGACAGAUGUGGAAACGUGAAACUCCACACU